AAGAAUGAUUUUCCAACCACUACUAACCAGCAAAUGCAGCAAUUUGACCAACUGCUACAGGAACUAAUUUGGCUUAGAAAAGUGUUGGCUGAAGAUGGAGAAGGGAGACUCCAGAAAUUUUAGGACUUAAAAGGAAGGAUAAUGGAAAAGGAAGAAUUUUUCAGAGAGUGGAGUCAAGAGUCAAGAAUCAAGGAAGAAGCAACUCUCAUGAACUAGAACUAAGGCUCAAUUGGGAACAUUCCCUACUUCAAAUUUGGAAGACAGAAUCUCAUUUUUUUUUCCUUUAAAAUUUUAGUUUCUUAACCAAAAUGUAUUCCAUGUAGAGGCUAUAUGAAGACCUUGGGUCAUUCAUUGCUGAGCUUGAAUGGAGGUUUUACACUGUCCUUUACAUGAAAAAAACUGUGUUGAAUUUUGCAUAAAGAGGGAGAAAGAAGCCUGAAAAAGAAGACACAUGGAGAAGACCUUCAACUACAUUGAAGCUGCCAACAUGUAACAGAGAUAGAAAUAUAGCAUAGCUAUAAACCGCAAAUAUCCUGUGGCUGUUUGCUGCUAUAGAAUAACCUAAAAAUGCUGACAAGCAUAGUGCUAUGCCUACAAGACUGAAAGCCUGAAAAUUAAACUUCACCUGAUCCGUUUCCAUCUCGACUGUGAUUAAUUACUGUCAGUAGGAGAUUUCUUCAGCAUUAGAAGAAAUGUGGGUUAUUUUCCCAGAAAUACCACAUUCU
rnacentral:lncRNA from 1 species